UACGUAGGUGGCGAGCGUUGUCCGGAUUUAUUGGGGUUAAAGGGUGCGUAGGCGGCCCUAUAAGUCAGUGGUGAAAUAUCGCAGCUUAACUGUGAGGGUGCCAUUGAUACUGUAGGGCUUGAGUGAAUUUGAGGUAGGCGGAAUUGACGGUGUAGCGGUGAAAUGCGUAGAUAUCGAGAGGAACACCAGUGGCGAAGGCGAGUCCCUGGACAGGUCCUGACGCUGAGGCCCGAAAGCUAGGGGAGCAAACAGG
rnacentral:rRNA from 1 species